rnacentral:rRNA from 1 species
UGGGGAAUAUUGGACAAUGGGGGGAACCCUGAUCCAGCCAUGCCGCGUGUGUGAAGAAGGCCUUAUGGUUGUAAAGCACUUUAAGCGAGGAGGAGGGUACUGGUAUUAAUACUACCAGGUACUGGACGUUACUCGCAGAAUAAGCACCGGCUAACUCUGUGCCAGCAGCCGCGGUAAUACAGAGGGUGCAAGCGUUAAUCGGAAUUACUGGGCGUAAAGCGCGCGUAGGUGGUUCGUUAAGUUGAAUGUGAAAGCCCCGGGCUCAACCUGGGAACUGCAUCCAAAACUGGCGAGCUAGAGUAGGGCAGAGGGUGGUGGAAUUUCCUGUGUAGCGGUGAAAUGCGUAGAUAUAGGAAGGAACACCAGUGGCGAAGGCGACCACCUGGGCUCAUACUGACACUGGGGUGCGAAAGCGUGGGGAGCAAACAGG